CUUUCACAAGCUUUGUAAUACCUUCUAGGAAUUCCUCACUUCCCUUCUUUCGCAGAUCUCCAGUUUCCUGUAACAAUUUUUCCCAGACAUAAUGACAGUUUUUCAGGUUGGAGUUCCCUCUCCAAUACAAGACUAACCACAGCUUGCGAGCCUGAAGAAACCAUGAAGUUAAGACAUUUCUUGAUUGAUUCUAAUGAGCAACCGACUCUAGCAAAUCCGAAAGUUGAAUUUGAAUGGGUAAAGCAAACGAGGAGGUCCAAAUUGUUACGGUAUGUGAUGGUAUAGUUCAAUGGAAGAUAAGAAAGUAGUUGUAGUUACCUGACUGAGACAAGCAGCUAGAGAGACGGCUUUCUUUGCAGCGGCUAGCUCCUUCUCAUAAGACAUUGAAAAGCUUCAAGACUUCGCAGAUGUUAUAGUCCAAGACUCGAAGGGAGGACAUAGUCAACACUGAUAUAUAAAAUAGAGUUUCGUGCGGGACGGAGUUAGUGGUGCAAACCGUCUUCCACGUAAUGCCAGAACAAGUUGACGUUUAAAAAGAAGAAAAUUAAAAGAUAAGGAAUUAUAGAAUAUGUAGACGUAAUAUUAUCAUUUAGAAUAUUUCACGGAUUUUUGUAUCGAUUUGCAUAUUGUAAUAAUAGUCGUUAGAAAACAAGAGUGGUCAUUGUCCAUAGAUCGUUAAACACUAAACAAAUUGGAUAAUCAAUACACUAAUAAGCUCUCUCUA